GCUACAAUGGGUAGUACAGAGGGUUGCCAAGCCGUAAGGUGGAGCUAAUCCCUUAAAGCUACUCUCAGUUCGGAUUGUAGGCUGAAACUCGCCUACAUGAAGCUGGAGUUACUAGUAAUCGCAGAUCAGAAUGCUGCGGUGAAUGCGUUCCCGGGUCUUGUACACACCGCCCGUCACACCACGGGAGUUGGAGACGCCCGAAGCCGAUUAUCUAACCUUUUGGAAGAAGUCGUCGAAGGUGGAAUCAAUAACUGGGGUGAAGUCGUAACAAGGUAGCCGUAUCGGAAGGUGCGGCUGGAUCACCUCCUUUCUAAGGAGA
rnacentral:rRNA from 1 species